rnacentral:rRNA from 1 species
UACGUAGGGGGCAAGCGUUGUCCGGAAUCAUUGGGCGUAAAGAGCGUGUAGGCGGCUCGAUAAGUCUGCUGUGAAAGUCCAGGGCUCAACCCUCGGAUGCCGGUGGAUACUGUCGGGCUUGAGUACGGAAGAGGCGAGUGGAAUUCCUGGUGUAGCGGUGAAAUGCGCAGAUAUCAGGAGGAACACCAAUUGCGAAGGCAGCUCGCUGGGACGUUACUGACGCUGAGACGCGAAAGCGUGGGGAGCAAACAGG